UUCUGGCUCAGGAUGAACGCUGGCGGCGUGCCUAACACAUGCAAGUCGAGCGGAGAUAAGUUGAAGCCUAGCGAUUCUUAUCUUAGCGGCGGAUGGGUGAGUAACACGUGGGUAACCUGCCCUGUACUGGGGGAUAACAGCUGGAAACGGCUGUUAAUACCGCAUAUGCGCACGGAGCCGCAUGGCCCUGGGCGGAAAGAUUCAUCGGUACAGGAUGGGCCCGCGCCGGAUUAACUUGUUGGCGGGGUAACGGCCCACCCAAGGUGAUGAUCCGUAGCCGACCUGAGAGGGUGACCGGCCACAUUGGGACUGAGACACGGCCCAAACUCCUACGGGAGGCAGCAGUGGGGGAUAUUGCACAAUGGGGGAAACCCUGAAUGCAGCGACGCCGCGUGAAGGAAGAAGUAUUUCGGUAUGUAAACUUCUAUCAGCGGGGAAGAAGAUGACGGUACCCGCACAAGAAGCCCCGGCUAACUACGUGCCAGCCGCCGC
rnacentral:rRNA from 1 species